rnacentral:rRNA from 1 species
UACGAACGCUGGCGGCGUGCUUAACACAUGCAAGUCGAACGGAAAGGCCCUGCUUGCAGGGUGCUCGAGUGGCGAACGGGUGAGUAACACGUGGGUGAUCUGCCCCUUACUUUGGGAUAAGCCUGGGAAACUGGGUCUAAUACUGGAUAGGACCAUGCUGUAGGUGGUGUGGUGGAAAGAUUAGUUUCGGUAAGGGAUGAGCUCGCGGCCUAUCAGCUUGUUGGUGGGGUAAUGGCCUACCAAGGCGUCGACGGGUAGCCGGCCUGAGAGGGUGGACGGCCACAUUGGGACUGAGAUACGGCCCAGACUCCUACGGGAGGCAGCAGUGGGGAAUAUUGCACAAUGGGCGCAAGCCGGAUGCAGCGACGCCGCGUGGGGGAUGACGGCCUUCGGGUUGUAAACUCCUUUCAGCCAUGACGAAGCCCUUGUGGUGACGGUAGUGGUAGAAGAAGCACCGGCUAACUACGUG